rnacentral:rRNA from 1 species
CCUACGGGAGGCAGCAGUGGGGAAUUUUGGACAAUGGGCGCAAGCCUGAUCCAGCAAUGCCGCGUGCAGGAUGAAGGCCUUCGGGUUGUAAACUGCUUUUGUACGGAGCGAAACGGUCUGCUUUAAUACAGUAGGCUAAUGACGGUACCGUAAGAAUAAGCACCGGCUAACUACGUGCCAGCAGCCGCGGUAAUACGUAGGGUGCGAGCGUUAAUCGGAAUUACUGGGCGUAAAGCGUGCGCAGGCGGUUAUAUAAGACAGAUGUGAAAUCCCCGGGCUCAACCUGGGACCUGCAUUUGUGACUGUAUAGCUAGAGUACGGUAGAGGGGGAUGGAAUUCCGCGUGUAGCAGUGAAAUGCGUAGAUAUGCGGAGGAACACCGAUGGCGAAGGCAAUCCCCUGGACCUGUACUGACGCUCAUGCACGAAAGCGUGGGGAGCAAACAGGAUUAGAUACCCUGGUAGUCCACGCCCUAAACGAUGUCAACUGGUUGUUGGGUCUUCACUGACUCAGUAACGAAGCUAACGCGUGAAGUUGACCGCCUGGGGAGUACGGCCGCAAGGUUGAAACGUCAAAGGAAUUGACGGCUGAGAGNGCGAGCGACGACGAGGGAGAGG